GGUUCGAUAGCUCAGCGGUAGAGCGAGAGAUUGCAGAUCUCUAGGUCACGUGUUCGAUCCACGUUCGGACCU
rnacentral:tRNA from 1 species